CUUUUUUCAAUCCCAUUUCUUUCUGUACUGAAUUCUCUCCUUCCUCCCUGUCUUUCUUCCUCUGUCAAAGACGAGAGCAGGCCAGUCCCUGACAUUUUCAGGACUUAGGGCAGGAAUACAAAUGAAGGGUCCUGGCCUUCUGCCUCACCCAUUUCUCUUCCCACACCUGGAUCCAAACCAUACUAUAAGUAGCAUACACAAGGGCACCUGAGACUGUGUCCAGGUUUUGUCCAUCACUCCCUCCUCCCAGCAAAACCUCACUUCUUGGCCAUCCUUCAUCCAAGGAGAGCACACACUGAUGUCUGGUCAGCAAUGGGAGGGCAGACUUGGAGAACAGCUUUGCAGGCCUUGGAAGGGGGCUCAGGGCCAUCUGACUGGUAAUUCUACCAUCCUAGGUACCUGGAGCAUGGCCCACAAGUGGGGCAAGGGGAAGCGUGGGCUUGGGGGUCUGCACACUCAUCAUGCUGCUGCGAGGGGCAUGGACAGAGGAAAGCCACAGUGGGGUCUUCUGACACAGGGCACAUGGCAGUGGCUUGGACUGCUCAGGUUUCAGAGGGAACUGGAUGCAGGAUGCCAACACGACUGACCAGAUUCUUUGACUCAGAGUCACAUACAGUAAAGGAUCCCUUCGUCGUGUAUUAACAGGUCAUGGGCAACACUUUGAUCCUUCCUUGGUACAAGAUAGUACAAGAUAUUACCUUAGGAUAUUGACUCUCAAAAAGAUCUGAAGACUUUUGUUUGAGAUUAAAAAACAUACAGGAUGCACGAUCAGGCAGUUACAUCUUAGUGGUAAGAAUUUUUGUUUGCUACCACUUAUAAUAUCUGCAGUCCUUCUUUUUUGGAUUCAUUUGCUGAAAUAAGUUCCCUAGUUAUUCCUUCAGAAAGGACGUCAUCGGGUAAACUUUGCCCAAUCACUCAUCGUUUUUUCACAUUAAAUUUGAGUUUGAACUGGUACUGGUAACAAACUAGUAUUCAUUUUCCCUGAGCACUUGGGAGAAUUGAUCCAAUGACUGGUGGCGUGUAGAAUGAAUCGCGAUGAAACGUCUCGUCCUACCUGCUCCUCAUUCCCUUUUCUGCCAACGAUUCAUCUUCAGAAGACAAGCAGAUGAGGAGACAAAACCUACUGAUGUGGGUACCCAAGCAGGAACCCCCCUCUUGCACCGGCGACUCAAGUGGGAAGAAGAAUUCACUGAGUUGAAAUGGAGUGAGAGCUACGAUGCUCUCAGAAUAUCCUUAAAAUGUGCUGCAAAGAAGCCUGGGUGAGUAGAAGAAAAUAAAAGGAAUGGUGAAUACAAGGAAAGGUUAAAAUGAGGUAGGAACUAAAUAUUAUACUGGCACUUGGGGUUACUAUUUAUGAAUUGUUACUUUCUGGCAAUGCUCUACUCUUUUGUAUCUUCUUUGGGACAGAAAAUUCCAUAAGAAAGACCUUUCCAGGAAGAGCUUGUCCCUAAGCUUAUGGGCUCAGGGUUUGAACAAAGCGUCUCUUCCAAGACCUUGUGAAUAAUAUGCAUAUGGUCCACAUAACUUCACAAAGUAAAGUUAAAUGAACGCAUUCUUUUCUUGCUAUUAGACCCCGUUUAUCGCACUAGCUGCUGGUGAUUUGAGCGCUCCUUUCCAAGCCUCUUGAGAGUUCUGCUCUAACAACACUGCCCCCUAGUGUUCUCUCGCUUUGGUGCAACAUGGAAUACUUCUAUCAAGAGAAACAUCUCAUCAACUACUUGGGUUACUUGGAAUAAUAUGCAUAGGGAAGUUAGAAAAAAUGGUUGAUCUCUUCCUUUUAUUUGCUAGUUUUUAAAAUAACGAUUUUGGUUUCCUUGCAUUUUCCAAGGAUGAUCAAUACUAUUUUAUUUUAACAGUAUCAUUAGGAAUUCAUGAAUUUUAAUAUUUGAUGUGUUUCAGUUCAUUGCAGAGUUAACUUAAUUGCAGAGUUCUGAUAUCAACAAAGCAGUUUAUGAUAUUCCAGGUCCAUCUUGUACACUUCCUUCCAUAGACCUGUAAUCAUCUAUUUCUUCAGGGAGCCUUUGAUUCCUUUUAGUGGAAAAUGCUGCACAGUCUAUAACAACCAGUGUGUGAGAGUUUCAGCCUUCAUCCAAAUAACGAAUGUGAAACCACAAAGGAAUUCAAGCUGCAGACAACAAGGCACAUUUAAGAGUCAGAUAUUUCGAAAAGACUCCCUGGGAAUAAUCAUGGACUUUGGAGCCUAGGACAGAGGCAGGGCUUCGUGCUCCCGGGGCAGCUCCAGGAGAUGCUGACUGGAAGGGUUGAAAGGUCAAGGACUGAAGAGGGGCUGAAAAUGCAGGUUUCUCAUACUUCAUGGAGAAAUAGAAAGGACCAGAUGACAGCCACCACACAUUUUUGUCCCCAUUGCUAUAAGAUGCUUCUAACCAUCGUAAAAUUAUGAAACACUGAAUUCCUUAAAAGUUGUCCACUUGUGGAUUUAUCUGAUGCACAGAACACUGGGCCCAGACUCUUGCCAGAAGAUGCCUUUGAACUGUUUGCUGCUCACCUUUUAGUGAAAGCUCUUGACACAAAUAUUAAAGAAAAGUGUUUAAAGGACGUGCGGUCAAUGCAUUCCUGACGGUGAGUCUUUCGUGGAUUGAAAGCUCUGAAGUCCCACACUGGAAAAACACUUUGAGACCUACACAGAUAAUGGUGUGUACAACUUCAGAGGCCUGUGCUGUCUCUUGAAGUGCAUAUUGAUGCCCUAGACAGUUCUGUCAUGAUAAAAAAACAGGCUUCAGUUUUUUCCAUCUCUAAUUAAUUGGUAGUGAAGACCAAGAGCACUGUUUUGAAAUGGAUCUGAGCCCAGUUUGGUCUAAGCAGAAAAGAGUUCUAUGAUGGAUCCACACACCCUAAGUUGGGUUGAGAAAGCUGCUGGGCCAUGGGCUAUGAUUUUGAUAUCCUUACUCUGGAAAUUAAGGUAGACUACUAGCAAGUUGUGUAUGUUGACCACACACUUUCUAAUUUAUCCAGAACAUUGCUUCCAUUGAGUUGGACUUGGUCAUUAUAUCCUCAGUUUGCAUUCAGGGAAAAUUUUAAAAAGUUUCCCAUGACACCUGCCUUCACUUUUUUGUCAGAAUGUCAUCGAAAAACACUGGCCAUGUCAGAUAAAAUGUCCUUGUCAGACCUAAGUGUCAGGAAAAUCUUUGCUUCACUGAAGAAUUUUAUUCUUUCAGGACAAAAUAUGAAUGACAUAAUAUACAGUAUUCCUCUUUGCUUCUGCUUUUAGGAAUAUCAGCUUAAUGUCAAUAAUUGCAUAGCAUACUAUAACAAAAAUCAUACAAUGAUACUAAUUUUUAUUUAUCUCUCUAUCCAUGAAUCUAUCCCACUGUUGAGCUAACAAUUCUUAUAAGCCACUCCAAAUUCUUUGUGGAACAAAUCAAGAUAUAUAAAGGUAAACAAAUAAUAUUGUAUAGAUGUUAAUAUUUUAAUUCUCCCAUGAAAAAUAAAAGUUCGCCUUCCUUUGGCUUCAGAAAAUUCAUUAAUUUUCCAGCUUUAAGACUGAAGAGUAAUGAACACAUGCUAUCAGCAGAUUUAAGUAUCUGACUAACGACAGUUCAAGCCUUCCCUUUCAUAUUCCUCUCCAGUAUGACUGAAUAACUUCUUUUCCCUAGAGACAGAUAUUUAGCCUUAAAUUUUAUUAGAAGGAGAAAGAACAAAACAUUUUAAAAUAUCAAAGCAAUAUAAAUCUACAGUGGUAUUCAGAGUUGUUCAUUUUUAAUAGAAAUAAAUUACUAGUUCAAAUAACUUCUCCAAAACAAGUUUCCCAGCCCACCAAAGCAGCCGCUGGUGAGCAGCCUCACCUGUUAUCAUUAGUCUUUUCUUGUCACACUUCCCUAUUUAAGUGUGGAAUUGUUCCCAGUUCAAAGAUACAUGGGAGAGAAGUGGCUGGAUGGGUAGGAUGCACAGAAAACCUCAUGUAUAUUCUCUGGGAGAAGCUUCUGUAGAAGAAUCUAAGAGGCCACAGCAGAUGACCUCUGGGGAGGUUUGUGGCUAUCAUCAUGAAGAAAGGCUUAACUGUUACACAAAUCUUUGCAAUACUUCUGAAUUUCUUAGGCCCAGAAGGCUCUAUUGCUCAAGUUCAUUUUAAAGCACACUGGUUUCAAAACCUGCAUAAGUGUUCACUGAAUUAAAAAAAUUCUUUCUCAAGCUCUAGGUAUGCUGACAAGUUCGGUAGACCGGAAGUGUGAUACUUCUACCCGAGCGCCUCCCACAGAGUCAGCACCUCAAGGGAGAAGGCAGGGGCCCUGAGCUCCCUCCCCGGUCAGUGCCUUACUUCCUGUGUGAUCUCUGCAAAGUUAUUUAGUCAACCUCUCAGUCUCAGUUUUCUCAUACAUAAAGUAGGGAUAAAAGUCAUAUCCAACUUGCAGAUUGUGCAGAUUAAAUGCAUGUCAUGUAAAGCACAUGGAGUGUACUAAAUGCUCAAUAAAUACCAGUUCCCUCCCUUCACCUUUCAGCCCCUCGUCUCCCCAGCAAUAUUUUCAGAUGAAGAAGAGGUGAGAAUUUUCAGUCUUAUUUACACCAAAGAUCACGUUUCGUUAGUCAAAAUAAAAGUGACCGUAUAAUCUAAGGACAUAAGUGAGUUAUGUGGUCUGAGAACAGGACAGAAUAAUUAAAAGCAGGCUUGUGCUGAAAACCUGGAAAUAUGCUGCACAUCAUGUCUGCAUCCUUCCCUCACGCCUCCUUCUCUCUCCCACAGGGUAGUAGAGCAAAGAAAGUAGAACUCAGGGCAGGGCUUGUGUCUGUUUUGUUCACUGGUGUACCCCAAGUGUGGAGAAUCCUAUAGAUUUAAUGCUCAAUAGAUAUUUGAUAAACUGAAUUAAAUACUCAGAAAGAAAGCAGAAAUGUUUUGGGACUUCAUAUCCUGUUUUCCCUGCAGUUCAGCAUACAUAAAAUAAUUAUUUCUAACAAAAAAGUUAAAGAAAGUCUUUAAUUUUCUACCACAGGAAAAGGUAUUAGAUUUGUAUUCAUUUUCCUCAAGCACAUACCCAAAAAAAAUCCCCCCAAACAAAUAAACAUCAGUAAAUGAUUUCUGGAAACCCAAUGUAGCAAUAGGUUACAAAUAAAGCAAAGACUGCCCCUGCUCAAACUGCUGGUUAUCUUGCAAGGGCCUUCCAGGGUGGAGCUCUCUCACCCUCUCUUGGCCCAGCCUUAAACUUCACUCUAAGUAAGCAGAAUACAGCUGAGACAAGAGGAAGUAGUUCAUUUGCAUAAUACAAACAAAGACACCCAGGUGAAUGGUUUGCCACUUAUCAAUGUUUGCUUUGCUCAUUAGUGAAACAAUCUACCAGUAAGUCUACCUAAAGUCUAAUAGGCUAUACUUUUUUUUUUCCCCAGAAAGUUGGUCAAUGGAGAAGGCAUCAGUUGGCAUCAUUCUGUUGGACCAGUUAAUGAGGGUUUGCUUUUCAAAAGAUACUAGCAGAGAGCAUUAAUCUUAUCACUCUCUUUAAGUAUAAUCUGGACGCAGAGAAUCACUCACAUGCUUUAAGUUAGGUUGCAAAGUUUUGGGGGAAAAUGUGAGAUUUUGUUUUGUUUUUGGAUGUCUGGCAUCGGAUAAGCAAUGGAUAUUUUGGGAGCCCAAAUAUCCAUUGUUUCUCUGGAUACUAAAAAUGAUUAUAUUAAUAGAAAUAGCAGGGACUGUGAAGAUCGGCUGUGACAAGUGAUGCCGUGGUUUACUCUGACUUAGAUUUGCUUCCAUGGAGGUUUGACUGUGAGAUGGAGAUCUGUGGGGAGUUCCACUGGGGUGUGUUCUGGGCAAAACCCCUAUGACAGCAGUGAAGGAAGAAGGAUCAGGUGGGAGGGGCAUCUUGGAGUCCUGAGCCGGGAUGCCCUUCAGAACUGGCCCAAACUGAAGCAGUGGGGAUGAGUCUCAGUGGCCAGACAUUGGAUGUGGGCUGCCCAGGGAGGACGCAUGACCUCGUGUGAGGCAGCUCCCUUUGGCCAAAGGCAAUUUUCCAGAAGGGAUGCAGUGAGGGCUGUCAGCUUCCACCAAUUCCAGCAGCUGGCGGAAACAGUACCUUGGCUCUGAAGGAGUAUCUGGGUCGCCCACUACAGCAUCCACUAAAACUGGCAAGUUUAAAUAAAAUAUUUAGGAAUGAGUACUUCCUAUGUAACCUGCAUAUAAAGGACAUUUAACAAAUAUUUGUCAAAUGAAUAAAUGAGUGGUUAUUAGGAUAGAAGAAUGAUAAGUAGUGGAUUUAAACCCCAACAGAAGGGAUUUAAAUAAGGCUAAAGACAAAUACAGAACUAUAAUAAUGAACCACUCAGAGCAGAAGAACUUCCAGUCUAGAUAGCUGUAUUAUGACUUCAUCAUUGGAUUUAGUUACUCGAAUUCUGAAUUUAAGCCUUACAGCAAAAGUAGAGGGAAAAGAUGGAAAAGGGACUCCGAUUUUGGGGAUCAAGGUUCAACAAGUGAGGGUCCCCCACUCACUUGGAAAGGGCUAUCAUUCUACUACAUUAGAAUUUGCCAGAAAAACUCAAGGCUUUAAAAAGGAAAUAAUUAGUCUGUGUGAAGCAGCUGAAAGAAGUGAAAAACAUCAUUGAUUGAAUUUUUCCAAAAUUAAUGACUCUUCCUGCUUGGAGCCCUUUCAACUAAGGUAAUCAACAUCUAAAGUUCUUGUGAAGGUCAUUUCUGAGCACAGUCUAUUCUGCUCCAUCGAAUGAUCCAGUUCCUCUCCGUCUGAGUGUCUGGGCAUGCUCAUCAUGCAGUCAGCUAUCUAAUCACAAAGACAUUUUCCUGACACUACACAUUAGAAGAUGCCCCUUACUUUAUAAAGUUAUAUAAAUUAGAAUCUAUUUUAUCCAGGGGCUUAUAUGGUUAAUUUCAAAGAUGCUUUGUCUCCUUUUCUCAGUGGUCUUCAUACCAAAAUAGAUUCUAACACUUAGCCUAUAAACACUUCCGUUGCUUAAGAUUUAUCUGAUUAAAAGCUUAUAAAUAUAUAUUUUCAUAUAUUUACAAGAUAUAAUUUUUUAUGCAAAAGAGUCUUUUCUUAAAAUGAAAAGUCCUUUUAGUUUUCAUUACGCAAAUGUAUAUCUUCCAGACUUGGCUUUACAACUCUUCAAUAUCUUUGGGGAAGAAUAUUCUGUUCAUAUAAAGCAAAUAUAACUUACUGGCACCUCACGAAUUUGUUUUUGUAGCUUAGGAUAGUCAGGUUGUUUGGGGGAAUUUUUUGUUCUAAUGAUUAAAAUAUUUUGUUCUAAUUAUUAGAAUAUAUCAUUUAACUAGAUUGCAGGAUCAAUCUUUAACCAGGGUCCCUGGCUAUGCCUGUCCAGGGAAUCUAGGAAAGGAGACACAUAGGUGCGCGCACACACAUGCGCGCGCACACAUACGCGUGCGCGCACACACACACACACCCCCCCUUCCCUCCCAAAACCUGAAAUUUCACCAAGAACAAAGUAUAUGACUUAUAAAGGGCAUAUAAUUUUAUAUAUUUCAGAGAGACAUAAUACAUCAAUCAAUACAUGUAAGAUUUACAUUGGUUUGAUCUGGAAGGGUGGGACAACUCACCCUUUAUGUAGAUUUAAACAUAUUCUGAUUGGCAGCUGGUUGAAAGAGUUAUUAUCUAUAGAAAGGAAUGUCUGGGUUAUGAUAGGGGAUGUGAAGACCUAGGUUUUAUCAUGCAGAUGAAGCCUCCAAGUAGCAUGCUUCAAAAGACUGUAAAUGUUUCUCCCCAGACUUAAAGUCUGUGUUGAUGUUAAUGCUGGAGGGGUAUCGUGAGACUGUCCAGCCCCCCCAGUUCCUGUCAUGGCCUGAGCCAGUCUUUCAGGUUAAAUUUUAGAGCACCUGGCUGAGGAGGGAGCCCAUUCAAAUGGUUGUGGGAGGCCUUUGAAUUUUAUUUUUGGUUUAUCGUCCCAAGGUUUAGCUAUAUGAAUAAUAAUUCUAUGCUUUUAAAAUGUUAAUUCAUUCAUUCUACAGACUUUCUGAGUACCAUUAUGUGCCAGGUCCUGGGCUGAGGAGGAGGACCUCAUAUAAAUCAGGACUUGAUAUAGUUUGGAUAUAUGUCCCCAUCAAAUC